UACGUAGGGUGCGAGCGUUAAUCGGAAUUACUGGGCGUAAAGCGUGCGCAGGCGGUUUUGUAAGCCAGAUGUGAAAUCCCCGGGCUUAACCUGGGAAUGGCAUUUGGGACUGCAAGGCUCGAGUGCGGCAGAGGAGACUGGAAUUCCUGGUGUAGCAGUGAAAUGCGUAGGUAUCAGGAGGAACACCGAUGGCGAAGGCAGGUCUCUGGGCUGACACUGACGCUCAUGCACGAAAGCGUGGGGAGCAAACAGG
rnacentral:rRNA from 1 species